AACGAACGCUGGCGGCAUGCCUAACACAUGCAAGUCGAACGAGACCUUCGGGUCUAGUGGCGCACGGGUGCGUAACGCGUGGGAACCUGCCCUUAGGUUCGGAAUAACUCCCCGACAGGGGUGCUAAUACCGGAUAAUGUCUUCGGACCGAAGAUUUAUCGCCUUUGGAUGGGCCCGCGUUGGAUUAGCUAGUUGGUAGGGUAAAAGCCUCCCAAGGCGACGAUCAAUAGCUGGUCUGAGAGGAUGAUCAGCCACACUGGGACUAGGACGCGGCCCAGACUCCUACGGGAGGCAGCAGUGGGGAAUAUUGGACAGUGGGCGAAAGCAUGAUCCAGCAAUGCCGCGUGAGUGAUGAAGGCCGUAGGGUUGUAAAGCGCUUUUACCCGGGAUGAUAAUGACAGUACCGGGAGAAUAAGCUCCGGCUAACUCCGUG
rnacentral:rRNA from 1 species